rnacentral:pre_miRNA from 1 species
AAUGAAAUUGCUGGGUCAUAUGGUAACUGUUUAGCCUUUUGAGGAACUGCUAAACUGUUUUCCAAAGUGGGUAUUCCAUCUUACAAUCCUAGCAGCAAU